rnacentral:rRNA from 1 species
UACGGAGGAUGCAAGCGUUAUCCGGAUUUAUUGGGUUUAAAGGGUGCGCAGGUUGUUUGAUAAGUCAGUGGUGAAAGUCUGUCGCUUAACGGUAGGAUUGCCAUUGAUACUGUUAGACUUGAAUAUGGAUGAGGUAGGCGGAAUGUGUAGUGUAGCGGUGAAAUGCAUAGAUAUUACACAGAACACCGAUUGCGAAGGCAGCUUACUAAUCCAUCAUUGACGCUGAGGCACGAAAGCGUGGGGAGUCAAACA